rnacentral:pre_miRNA from 1 species
AGUGGGAUAGCUGGGUCAAAAUGGUUGUUCCAUUCCAAGUUUUCUGAGGAAUCUCCAUACUGCUUUCCAAAGUGGUUGCACCAAUUUGCAGUGCCACUAGCAGU